UCUGCAGUGAGGAAUCUUCAUCCACAGCCCUCCCUGUUCCAGGGAGCUAUGCUAGAUAGCUGUGUUGCUUUCCAGGUCCUCUUCCCAUCUGCCAUUGCUCAUAUCAAGAACAAUGUCUAGAAGUCAUGGGAGAAGAGUGGACAAGAUGCUGGGUGCACAGGUAGAAUCACCAGUCAUUCAGAGAAUCUGAAUGGUAAGCGAAUGGUGAGCAUCUCACCAAAGAAAACAUCCUCCCAGGCCAGGAGGGAAGACAUCACUCAGUUCAGAACAUCCUCCCCAGACAACGGACAUCCUGCUUUGCCUUCUUCAUUUUCUCAGGUUUCAUUUCAAUGGGAAGAACUAUGGCACAGGUUUGGCCUUGAAGUUCAACGUUUCCAUAAAUAAAUUAUUGAGUCUGA